GAUGAACGCUGGCGGCGUGCUUAACACAUGCAAGUCGAACGGAAAGGCCCAAGCUUGCUUGGGUACUCGAGUGGCGAACGGGUGAGUAACACGUGGGUGAUCUGUCCUGCACUUCGGGAUAAGACUGGGAAACUGGGGCUAAUACAGGAUAGGACGUUGGUUUGGAUGCCAUUGUGGAGAGUUUUUCCGGUGUGGGAUCAGGUCGAGGCCUAUCCGCUUGUUAGUGGGGUAUUGGCAUAGCAACGCGUUGACGGGGAGCCGGCCUGUGAGAGUGUAGGGACACAUUGGAAUGCAGAGACGGCCCAGACUCCGACGGGAGGCAGAAGGGGGGAAUAUUUGACAAUGGGAGCAAGCGUGAGGCAUCGACGCCGCGUGGGGGAUGAAGGCUGUCGGUUUGUAAACUCCUAUCGCUAGGGACGAAGCGUUUUUGUGACGGUACCUGGAGAAGAAGCACCGGCUAACUACGUG
rnacentral:rRNA from 1 species